GAUGAACGCUAGCGGCAGGCCUAAUACAUGCAAGUCGAACGGUGUCUUCGGACAUAGUGGCGCACGGGUGCGUAACACGUAUGCAACCUACCUUACAUUGGGGGAUAGCCUUUCGAAAGGGAGAUUAAUACAGCAUAAGACAGUCGCUGGGAAUCCAACAGCUGUUAAAGAUUUAUCGAUGUAAGCUGGGAAUGCGUCCAAUUAGCUCGUUGGUGAGGUAACGACUCACCAAGGCAAUGAUUGGUAGGGGAACUGAGAGGUCAAUCCCCCACACUGGCACUGAGAUACUGGCCAGACUCCUACGGGAGGCAGCAGUAGGGAAUAUUGGGCAAUGGACGCAAGUCUGACCCAGCCAUGCCGCGUGCAGGAUGAAGGCGUUAUGCGUUGUAAACUGCUUUUAUACAGGAAGAAGCGACUCUUGCGAGAGGCAUUGACGGUACUGUAUGAAUAAGCACCGGCUAACUCCGUGCCAGCCGCCGCAGUAAUAC
rnacentral:rRNA from 1 species